UCGAGUGGGACUGAGACACGGCCCACACACCUACGGGUGGCAGCAGUUGGGAAUCUUGCACAAUGGGGGCAACCCUGAUGCAGCGACGCCGCGUGGAGGAUGAAGGAUCUAGGUCUGUAAACUCCUUUUGUUGGAAAGACUUAGGACGGUACCCAACGAAUAAGCACCGGCUAACUACGUGCCAGCAGCCGCGGUAAGACGUAGGGUGCAAGCGUUGUCCGGAUUUACUGGGCGUAAAGAGCGCGUAGGCGGCUCGUUAAGUGUGAAGCUAAAUCUCCAGGCUCAACCUGGAAACUAUUUCGCAUACUGGCGAGCUGGAGGAAUGCAAGGUUAGUGGAAUUCCUGGUGUAGCGGUGAAAUGCGUUGAUAUCAGGAGGAACACCCAUGGCGAAGGCAGCUAACUGGGCAUUAUCUGACGCUGAGGCGCGAAAGCGUGGGUAGCAAACAGGAUUAGAUACCCUGGUAGUCCACGCCCUAAACGAUGGAUACUAGGCGUAAGAGGUAUCGACCCCUCUUGUGCCGCAGCUAACGCACUAAGUAUCCCGCCUGGGGAGUACGGCCGCAAGGUUGAAACUCAAAUGAAUUGACGGGGACCCGCACAAGCGGUGGAGCAUGUGGAUUAAUUCGAUACUAACCGAAGAACCUUACCCAGACUUGACAUCGAUUGUAACGUCUAGAAAUAGGCGCCUCUUCCCAAAUGGAAGACAUGAAGACACUUGUUGCAUGGCUGUCGUCAGCUCGUGCCGUGAGGUGUACGGUUAAGUCCGCCAACGAGCGCAACCCUCGUCCUAUGUUGCCAGCAUGAAAGAUGGGAACUCAUAGGAGACCGCCGGUGUAAAUCGGAGGAAGGUGGGGAUGACGUCAAGUCAGCAUGGCAGUUACGUCUGGGGCUUCACACAUGCUACAAUGGGCGCAACAAAGGGCAGCAAUACCGCGAGGUGGAGCCAAUCCCAAAAAUACGCCCCCAGUUCAGAUUGCAGUCUGCAACUCGACUGCAUGAAGGCGGAAUCGCUAGUAAACGCAGGUCAGCUAUACUGCGUUGAAUACGUUCCCGGGUCUUGUACACACCGCCCGUCAUGUCACCUGAAUUGUCUUCACCCGAAGUCCGUGGCCUAACCGCAAGGAGGGAGCGGCCGAAGGUGAGGGGAGUAAGGGGGACUAAGUCGAAACAAGGUACCCGUACCGGAGGGUGUGGGUG
rnacentral:rRNA from 1 species